rnacentral:lncRNA from 13 species
GCUGAAGUUACUCUAUGCUGACCUGGCAAAAACGAGGUUUCCUGACACUGCGGAAUUAAGCCAGCCUGGUCACAAAUAAUUCAUUGGCGUCCACACUUCUGAAACAUAUAUAGUGAGGUAACCACAAGAGAAGACUUCCAUGGUACUGACAGAUUGGAUUCCCCUAAAAUCUGACUUAGUUAGUUAUUGUUGGUCUUGGACAAUGGAAUUCCUUUUGGAAAAGAAAGGUGUGAGUCAAACCACUAUGGAACAUAGCUACGCCUUUGAAAGGAAAUGGCUGCUUCUCCCUUCAUCAUGAAGUAGAGUGAACCACAAGAUGACUGACUGUUCAAACAGAUCUAAGGAAAUAAAUAAGGCUCAGCCCAAAAUCA